AUAGGUUUGGUCCUGGCCUUUUUAUUAAUUAUUAAUAAUAUUACACAUGCAAGAAUCCCCCCCCCAGUGAAAAUGCCCUUUAGUCAUUCACAUGACAUAAGGAGCCGGUAUCAAGCGCACUAUACAGUAGCUAAUAACACCUUGCUAAGCCACACCCCCACGGGUAAUACAGCAGUGAUAAAAAUUAAGCAAUAGAUGAAAAUCUGACUAAAUUACAUUUAUCUAUAGGCCUGGUAAAUAUCGUGCCAGCCACCGCGGUCAUACGAUUGGGCCAAAUUAAUAAAUAUCGGCGUAAAGUGUGUUUAAGAGUCCUACCUACUAAUAAAGUAAAAACAUAAUUAAACUGUAAAAAGUAUUAGUUAUUAUAAGAUUAUCUACGAAAGUGACUUUAGAUCAUCUAAGACACGACAGCUGAGACCCAAACUGGGAUUAGAUACCCCACUAUACUCAGCCCUAAACAUAAAUAAUUAUUUAUAACAAAAUUAUUCGCCAGAGUACUACUAGCAAAUUAAAGCUAAAAACUCAAAGGACUUGGCGGUACCUCAUAUCUUCCUAGAGGAGCCUGUUCCAUAAUCGAUAAACCCCGAUAUACCUUACCAGCCCUUGCUAAAACAGCCUAUAUACCGCCAUCUUCAGCAAACCCUAAAAAGGAGAUAUAGUAAGCCCGAGUAUUAACAUAAAAACGUUAGGUCAAGGUGUAGCUUAUGGACUGGAGAGAAAUGGGCUACAUUUUCCCAGAUGAGGUAGAAUGAACGAAAACCUAUUUGAAACUAUUGGUUAAAGGUGGAUUUAGCAGUAAACCAAGAAUAGAGUGCUUAGUUGAAUGAAGCAAUGAGGUAUGCACACACCGCCCGUCACCCUCCUCAAAUAAUUAUGCUAAUAAAAUAUUCCUUAAUUAAUAAAAGCAAAGCAUGUAAGAAGAGACAAGUCGUAACAUGGUAAGUGUACUGGAAAGUGUACUUGGAUAACA
rnacentral:ncRNA from 1 species